UGACUUGCACCAUGGGUGAUGUCUGACAGCCUUAAUUCCAUUUCUUUGUCAGGUCAUGGAAAGUGCUGGAACUUAUCCCAGCAUGCACUGGGGGCAGGAAUACACACUGGUCACCAAUCCAUCUCACCCGAACCAGCAUGGCAUAGACUGUGGGAGGAAACCAGAGAAUCUAAAGGAGACACAACGCAGAUGCAGGGAGAACAUGCAAACUCCACACAAACAGGCUCUGACCGGGAUUCAAACCCAGGACCUACUUGCUGUCAGGCGACAGUGCUACCCACCGCACCACCUUCAUUAUUAUUAUGGAUAAAGGAAAUGUACAAGAGCAAGUGCAUAUGCAUAUACUGAAUGUGUGCAACACUUCAAUGUUGUGUGUCUCAAUAAGCCCAUAUAGCUGGAUAUCUGCAAAUUCACCAUGAAGGUCGGAUAGUCUUGUGCGUUCCUGGAAUUUAAUUGCCAUCUCUUCAUAAUCUGAUUACACGGUGUGUGCCGAUGCAACAGAGAUACGGCAGGGGUAAUUUAAUUAAAGCCAAUAUGCCACCUAUCCACUGAAAGAUCUGCACAGGUGAAUGAAGUAAUGUCACCCAUAUCCUCUGUAUAUAAUGUUUUUGCACCUCAGAAAUAUGUCAGUUCACUGAGGCAACCAUUUAUCAUAAAAUAUCUUGAUUUACAAUCUUUCAUCUGAAACCUUGCAAAAAAAAAAGGAGCCUCUUCUGAGUCCAUAGCUAGCUAUUAACUUAAGGGGAUGAGUUGGGGGGUGGAAGGUAGGUGGUGAAAAAUUGUGCCAUUUUGAGAUCAAGCAGUAACUAAAGAUCAAACAGAAACUUAAAUUGUGUUACUAAGGCAACAAUCCCUUAGUAAUGCAACACGGUUAUGUGGGGGACAAAAUGCAGUCCUACAUUCUUGUGGAUUUAUAAUUUUCUUUCUUGUAUUAUUUCAGAAGGAUCAACCUUGCUUUGAACACCAUUUUUCGUUUGACAGGGACAUGCUACAGUUCAAGGGCUAUACACAUAUUUCACAGUAUUAGCAUAGAAUCAGUAUAGAAAUAUGGAAAACCUAACCUCCGUAAUCAUAGUUAGAUUACUGUUAUUGUUUUAAUGUUUAAAUUUACAUUUUACAUACAUGCUUGUGAAUUAAAUUAAAAAAAAUUUUUUUUUUGAAAAAUGCUCAGCUGUGAGGAAUACAAUUGGAAUUAAGGGGGAUUGGGAUAAUAGUUUUUUUGUCUUAUGUGACAUAUUUCAUUGUAUUUGGAAUAACAGUUUCACUGGGGUUCUGAGAGAAUGAUGCUGAAAGCAGCAUUCGUUGCAUUAUAACACAGUACAGGGACAUUCUCUUUAUAAUACAAGGGCAGGUGGUAGUUAUCUGGGAAAAAAAAAAAAAAAGAGGGGAUUGUUGCUAGAUUUUCUUGCCCUGGGGAUUGCUGCAGUAACCCGUGGGAAUUAGAAUCACUGCUUUGAAAAAGUCUUUGUUCGCUAAAAAACUUUCCUGAUUCAGAGGACACAUGAUGACGUUUUCAUGAAGAAUCAGCCUGUGAACCUGUUGCCUUGGCUGCCAUGACAACAGCUCUUAUUUAAGUUUCAAUGAAUCAUCUGUAGCCGAUAUGCUUAAACCAAACAUUUUUAUGCCGUGUAAUAUACAUAGAGGGAGAAAUACAAAAAUGUUUCCAUUAAAUUUGCCUUAGUGAAGCCACCUUGAACUCUCAGGAACAUAAUAUUAUAUAAAUGAUCAAUGCUGUGCUAUUUGCCGGUUAGGAAGAAACAUGAUUGUGAUUGAAUAAAUGUAUAUCUUCAAAAAGCCACUGAAAUUGACAAUGAGGCAUAUGCUGUGAUAUCUACUAUUACCCAUGCCCUUGACUGAGGCCUAUGCUAAAAA